rnacentral:rRNA from 1 species
UACAGAGGUCUCAAGCGUUGUUCGGAUUCAUUGGGCGUAAAGGGAGUGUAGGCGGUUCGUUAAGUCUUCUGUGAAAUCUACGGGCUUAGCCUGUAACGUGCAGAGGAAACUAGCGGGCUUGAGUGUCGGAGAGGAUAGGGGAAUACCCAGUGUAGAGGUGAAAUUCGUAGAGAUUGGGUGGAACACCAGUGGCGAAGGCGCCUAUCUGGCUGACAACUGACGCUGAGACUCGAAAGCAUGGGGAGCAAACAGG